UAGGGAAUCUUCCGCAAUGGGCGAAAGCCUGACGGAGCAACGCCGCGUGAGUGAUGAAGGUCUUCGGAUCGUAAAACUCUGUUAUUAGGGAAGAACAAAUGUGUAAGUAACUAUGCACGUCUUGACGGUACCUAAUCAGAAAGCCACGGCUAACUACGUGCCAGCAGCCGCGGUAAUACGUAGGUGGCAAGCGUUAUCCGGAAUUAUUGGGCGUAAAGCGCGCGUAGGCGGUUUUUUAAGUCUGAUGUGAAAGCCCACGGCUCAACCGUGGAGGGUCAUUGGAAACUGGAAAACUUGAGUGCAGAAGAGGAAAGUGGAAUUCCAUGGGUAGCGGUGAAAUGCGCAGAGAUAUGGAGGAACACCAGUGGAGAAGGCGACUUACUGGUCUGUAACUGACGAUGAUGUGCGAAAGCGGGGGGAUCAAACAGG
rnacentral:rRNA from 1 species